UAGGGAAUCUUCCACAAUGGACGAAAGUCUGAUGGAGCAACGCCGCGUGAGUGAAGAAGGGUUUCGGCUCGUAAACUCUGUUGUUAAAGAAGAACAUAUCUGAGAGUAACUGUUCAGGUAUUGACGGUAUUUAACCAGAAAGCCACGGCUAACUACGUGCCGG
rnacentral:rRNA from 1 species